ensembl:lncRNA
GUCUUGAACAUCAACCCCGAGAACAAACCUUCUGAUUCGUUGGCUGAUUUUAGUCACUAAAGAUGGUUGAUAUCAAGUUACCAUUAACAUUGGAGUGAGUAAAUUAUCCUAUUAGAAUAUUUAGAAUUUGUCAUUUUGGGAGCAGUUAACACACAUUUGUCUGAUCCGUGUUUUAUCAUAUUUAUUUAUCUAAACUGUAGGAAUGUCAACGUGGCGGUUCAUUGAGUUUCUGAUUGACAGCGUGGGAGAGAAGAUGUCGUCUGUCGCCCAGCAGCAGAGAGAACGAACAGACAUUCGUAACUCUGGAGUUGCACUUGACUGCGUCAUUAGAGACGCUCACACGUCCCGAUGAACUUGGGGUUUGAAUUUGCUUUAUUUGUAGAGAAUUGAACUUGUUUGUGCUUUGAGUUGACUGACUUCAUUUUUUAGAAGUAUUCAUGUUUUAAUCAAAAUGUUCCAUAUCGGAAACAUGUUCAUUGACUAAAUAUUCUCUUCUUCUUCCGCCUGAUGUAUGAUUACAGGAGGAAGUAAGUCAACAAUUGAAAUCAGGCUUAAAAUGUCGACUGAAACCUUUGUGUGUCAUUAAAUACACAAACGCUCAUUAACUCAAGAUCAUUGUUGUUUCACUUCAUUCAAGUCAACGAGUAAUAAUGAACAUGUGAUUCUCUUUGGUCCAAAGAAAACAAGACGGAUUCAUUUGGUUUUAUUUUUAUUAAAAUGUAUUUUCAUUGUUAAAAUAAUAAACAGACGACAUAUUUAACAAUAAUAAUAACACAAUCAUUGGGAAAACAUCUAAAGCAGUUCCUGAGAAGAGAGAAAAGAAGAAAAGUUAUUAACAUGUUAAUGUUAGUGUGUCUGUGUGUACAUCUAAUUGUUAGUUGUGUCUGUGUGUAUAUCUAAUUGUUAUUGUGUCUUUGUGUACAUCUAAAUAUUAGUGUGUGUCUUUGUUUAGAACCAAAUGAUAGUGUGUCUGUGUGUACCUCUAAUUGUUAGUGUGUCUGUGUGUACAUCUAAAUAUUAAUAUGUCUUUGUGUACAUCUAAAUAUUAGUG